rnacentral:rRNA from 1 species
AACAUGUCUUUUUGAAAAUAAUAAAAAGUNUAAUCUGCCCACUGAAUUUAUUUAAAGGGCUGCAGUAUAUUGACUGUACAAAGGUAGCAUAAUCAAUAGUCUUUUAAUUGAAGACUUGUAUGAAUGAUUUGAUGAAAUAUGAACUGUCUCUUUUUUAAAAAUAAAAUUUAAUUUUUUAGUUAAAAAGCUAAAAUAAUUAUAAAAGACGAGAAGACCCUAUAGAGUUUUAUAGUUAUUUAAUUUAAAAAUUUUAUAUAUAAUUUAAAUUUAAAAUUAAUUAAUUAUUUUAUUGGGGUGAUAGAAAAAUUAAAAAAACUUUUUUUUAAAAUUUAACAUUAAUUUAUGAAAUUAUGAUCCAUAAUUUAUGAUUAAAAGAAUCAAUUACCUUAGGGAUAACAGCGUAAUUUUUUUUUUUAGUACAAAUAAGAAAAAGAGUUUGCGACCUCGAUGUUGGAUUAAGAUAAAAUUUAAAUGCAAAAGUUUAAAAUUUUUGAUCUGUUCGAUCAUUAAAAUCUUACAUGAUCUG